AACCCAUGUUGAGAACAUUUCCGCAUGAGAUCCUUGAACCUAUCCCAUGUCUCAAAAAGAGACUCCAAUUCCAUUUCUACAAAAGAUGAUAUUUCAUUCCUAUGCUU